rnacentral:tRNA from 2 species
CGCGGGGUGGAGCAGUCUGGUAGCUCGUUGGGCUCAUAACCCAAAGGUCGGAGGUUCGAAUCCUUCCCCCGCUA